rnacentral:lncRNA from 1 species
UAGAUCCCUUCUUACUUUGGAGCAUCCAAGUUGUUUGAAGAAGAAAGAAGAGAUUAGUUGUCAAAGUUGCUUGCAGGCUAGCAUCUCCAAGCCCCUGAUCUAUGCCAGUCUUCAUGUGAAUUUUUUAUAGAGGCCAGACAACUUCGUGUGGCUGUGAGUGAUCUGAGGAAUACCUUCUCUAACCAUUAGACCAGAGGAGAUCAAUAUCAAAUUGGUUUGGUAAUGAUUUCUAUCUUAUCUUGAUCGUAAUG